UACGAAGGGAGCUAGCGUUGUUCGGAAUCACUGGGCGUAAAGCGCACGUAGGCGGAUGUGUCAGUCAGGGGUGAAAUCCACAGGCUUAACCUGUGAAUGCCGCUGGAAACUGUCUGGCUAGAGUCCGGAAGGGGCGAGUGGAAUUCCUGGUGAUAGCGGUGAAAUGCGCAGAUAUCAGGAGGAACACCAAUGGCGAAGGCAGCUCGCUGGGACGGUACUGACGCUGGAGGCGCGAAAGCGUGGGGAGCGAACAGG
rnacentral:rRNA from 1 species